AUUAAUUUUAGCACCGAAUGCGUUUUAUUCAAGAGUGGCUUUUAACUUGUGUACACGCCAUUGCAUAUUCCAGGUUAUCAUGAUGAAGUUGGUCGUUGUUGCUGUUGCCUGCUUGGUGGCCAGUUCUAUGGCUGUCCCUAUGGGAGGUCUGGGAAUGUAUGGGGCAGGCCUAGGAAUGUACGGAGGUGCGUUAGGAAUGUUCGGUGCCGGAUACGGAAUGGGAAUGUACAAUCCCUUGAUGGGCGCUGGCAUGUACGGGAUGGGAUACCCUAUGAUUGCCGCAUCUAUGUACAAUCCCAUGUACAGUAUGUAUCCAGGUAUGAUUGGCGGUUUAGGUAUGUCCGGUAUGUAUCCAGGUAUGAUGGGCGGUUUGGGAGCUAUGUAUGGAAUGGGAAUGGGACAACAGAAUACCAUGACACCAGCUGAUCCCACCAACACUAUCUAAAAGUUUGAUGACGACUGACUUCGUCUGGAAAACUCUAUUCAUUAAAAUGGAUUUGGAAAAAAAAUAUUUUACGAUAAUAAAAUAAUUAAAGUUUUAUGUAACAUGCCACUGAUCUAAGCAACAAUGAUUGGUGUACGUGUAUACACACAUCUUGCACAUCUAUAAGACAUGAUUUAUUGGGGAUUGGCAAGUGUACAGUUAAACAUGAUCUCGAAGUACGUAUUGAUAUUGUAAACCCAGGUAGAAAGAAAAGAGACAGAGAAAUGGGGUUUAACGUCCACUCGACACAAACCACGUCAUUUCAGGACUAACAUAUGGUUCAAUUUUAUUUCAAUAAUUCGCUUGCGCGUAGGGGUCUUUAGCAGUGGGAGGACCUUACUCCUUGUCACGUACAAUCGGGGAAUCGAAAACACGCCAGUUGACUCAAUGGCAGAUCUUAUGAUGAGGUAGAAAUAAAACAUGUUUGAUUACUUAGCCUAUCCUGGAAUAUAUAGAUGAUGUUGAUGCACUAUAAUAUGGACAUUAUCUGAUUUAUGAACUCUUACAAGCAGCAAACAUCACCUGGAAACGAAAUCGGGUUUACCGUCCUACUUUUCUGCAUCGACUGGGCUAAUGGUAACGGGAUUACGCUAUACAGUGUGCUACGGCCUACUCUUAUGUUGAAUUACAACUGCCACGGGUUCUUUUACAGCACCGCCAAUGUGUACACGAGACCGGCUUUUUCGCCCCAUCCGAACGAUUAUACGUUUUCCCUUACCAGGACCCUCUGUCCUGCAUCACCAAAAAGUGGGCACCACGUCGGAAAAUCCCGAUGAACUUUAUUAUGCAUUAAACCAAUCAAUCACACCAUAGGCUACUUUUAUGUCCACUCCAAUUCUUGAAGGUACAUAGAACUGUCAAGGAAAUCGAAGGCGUGGUAUGUUUAAAGUAGAUUCAGUUUUGCUGGACCAAACAUUUUGUUUCUCCAUUCCGGUCCUCGAAAUGGUUGAUAAUAUACUAUGGGCCUUAUGUGCCUCUCUUACUUUAGCGUGAGUCUUAAUGUAUUCUAAUAUUAAAGGUAGAAGGGAACUAACCUUAUGAAUGAAUGACAAAUAUUUUAUUUACACGUGCACCAGACUGA